rnacentral:rRNA from 1 species
GUAGGGAAUAUUGGGCAAUGGUCGGAAGACUGACCCAGCCAUGCCGCGUGCAGGAAGACGGCCCUCUGGGUUGUAAACUGCUUUUAUCUGGGAAGAAAAAGGCCAUGCGUGGCAAAUUGCCGGUACCAGAUGAAUAAGCACCGGCUAACUCCGUGCCAGCAGCCGCGGUAAUAUGGAGGGUGCGAGCGUUGUCCGGAUUUAUUGGGUUUAAAGGGUGCGUAGGCGGCUGAUUAAGUCAGCGGUGAAAGACUUCGGCUUAACCGGAGCAGUGCGUUGGAUACUGGUUGGCUUGAGUGUCGGAGGGGUACAUGGAAUUGAUGGUGUAGCGGUGAAAUGCAUAGAUACCAUCAGGAACACCGAUAGCGAAGGCAUUGUACUGGCCGACAACUGACGCUGAUGCACGAAAGUGUGGGGAUCGAACAGGAUUAGAUACCCUUGUAGUCC